GGUGUGAAACUAGAUAAAUACUCUGCAGUGUUGGGUGUGAAACUAGAUAAAUACUCUGCAGUGUUGGGUGUGAAACUAGAUAAAUACUCUGCAGUGUUGGGUGUGAAACUAGAUAAAUACUCUGCAGUGUUGGGUGUGAAACUAGAUAAAUACUCUGCAGUGUCGGGUGUGAAACUAGAUAAAUACUCUGCAGUGUUGGGUGUGAAACUAGAUAAAUACUCUGCAGUGUUGGGUGUGAAACUAGAUAAAUACUCUGCAGUGUUGGGUGUGAAACUAGAUAAAUACUCUGCAGUGUUGGGUGUGAAACUAGAUAAAUACUCUGCAGUGAAGGGUGUGAAACUAGAUAAAUACUCUGCAGUGUUGGGUGUGAAACUAGAUAAAUACUCUGCAGUGUUGGGUGUGAAACUAGAUAAAUACUCUGCAGUGUUGGGUGUGAAACUAGAUAAAUACUCUGCAGUGUUGGGUGUGAAACUAGAUAAAUACUCUGCAGUGCCGGGUGUGAAACUAGAUAAAUACUCUGCAGUGUCGGGUGUGAAACUAGAUAAAUACUCUGCAGUGUCGGGUGUGAAACUAGAUAAAUACUCUGCAGGGACGGGUGUGAAACUAGAUAAAUACUCUGCAGGGACGGGUGUGAAACUAGAUAAAUACUCUGCAGUGACGGGUGAAAGACUAGAUAAAUACUCUUGCAUAACCCGACAGGACAGAGACAGAAGAGGCAGCAGGGACAGAGGAAGCAGCAGGAUCAGCAGAAGGGGUUGAGUAGGUAAGGAAGCAUAGUUUAAAUAAGGAAGUAAGGAAGCAUAAUUUAAAUAAGGAGGUAAAUAAGGACGGUAAGGAAGCAUAAUUUAAAUAAGGUAAAUAAGGACGGUAGGGAAGCAUAAUUUAAAUAAGGAGGUAAAUAAGGACGGUAAGGAAGCAUAAUUUAAAUAAGGUAAAUAAGGACGGUAAGGAAGCAUAAUUUAAAUAAGGUAAAUAAGGACGGUAAGGAAGCAUAAUUUAAAUAAGGAGGUAAAUAAGAACGGUAAGGAAGCAUAAUUUAAAUAAGGAGGUAAAUAAGGACGGUAAGGAAGCACAAUUUAAAUAAGGAGGUAAAUAAGAACGGUAAGGAAGCAUAAUUUAAAUAAGGAGGUAAAUAAGGACGGUAAGGAAGCAUAAUUUAAAUAAGGAGGUAAAUAAGGACGGUAAGGAAGCAUAAUUUAAAUAAGGAGGUAAAUAAGGACGGUAGGGAAGCAUAAUUUAAAUAAGGAGGUAAAUAAGGACGGUAGGGAAGCAUAAUUUAAAUAAGGAGGUAAAUAAGGACGGUAGGGAAGCAUAAUUUAAAUAAGGAGGUAAAUAAGGACGGUAAGGAAGCAUAAUUUAAAUAAGGAGGUAAAUAAGGACGGUAGGGAAGCAUAAUUUAAAUAAGGAGGUAAAUAAGGACGGUAGGGAAGCAUAAUUUAAAUAAGGAGGUAAAUAAGGACGGUAAGGAAGCAUAAUUUAAAUAAGGAGGUAAAUAAGGACGGUAAGGAAGCAUAAUUUAAAUAGGACCAAAAGGAACAGCCUAUGACCCCCUCGAGGCGGCCAUAUGGACCACUCCUGCUCUUCCCUUUCCUUCAAGCAGCCAUGGAGUUAAUUCUUUUAUGCUGGGAGUAAGUUAACCAAGGCAAC